rnacentral:rRNA from 1 species
GAUGAACGCUGGCGGCGUGCCUAAUACAUGCAAGUCGAGCGAACAGACGAGGAGCUUGCUCCUCUGACGUUAGCGGCGGACGGGUGAGUAACACGUGGAUAACCUACCUAUAAGACUGGGAUAACUUCGGGAAACCGGAGCUAAUACCGGAUAAUAUAUUGAACCGCAUGGUUCAAUAGUGAAAGACGAUUUUGCUGUCACUUAUAGAUGGAUCCGCGCCGCAUUAGCUAGUUGGUAAGGUAACGGCUUACCAAGGCAACGAUGCGUAGCCGACCUGAGAGGGUGAUCGGCCACACUGGAACUGAGACAUGGUCCAGACUCCUACGGGAGGCAGCAGUAGGGAAUCUUCCGCAAUGGGCGAAAGCCUGACGGAGCAACGCCGCGUGAGUGAUGAAGGUCUUCGGAUCGUAAAACUCUGUUAUUAGGGAAGAACAAAUGUGUAAGUAACUAUGCACGUCUUGACGGUACCUAAUCAGAAAGCCACGGCUAACUACGUG